GGCUCAGGAUGAACGCUGGCGGCGUGCCUAAUACAUGCAAGUCGAGCGAACUGACGAGGAGCUUGCUCCUUUGACGUUAGCGGCGGACGGGUGAGUAACACGUGGGUAACCUACCUAUAAGACUGGAAUAACUCCGGGAAACCGGGGCUAAUGCCGGAUAACAUAUCGAACCGCAUGGUUCGAUAGUGAAAGACGGUCUUGCUGUCACUUAUAGAUGGACCCGCGCCGUAUUAGCUAGUUGGUGAGGUAACGGCUCACCAAGGCAACGAUACGUAGCCGACCUGAGAGGGUGAUCGGCCACACUGGAACUGAGACACGGUCCAGACUCCUACGGGAGGCAGCAGUAGGGAAUCUUCCGCAAUGGGCGAAAGCCUGACGGAGCAACGCCGCGUGAGUGAUGAAGGUCUUCGGAUCGUAAAGCUCUGUUGUUAGGGAAGAACAAAUGUGUAAGUAACU
rnacentral:rRNA from 1 species